AACGAACGCUGGCGGCAUGCCUAACACAUGCAAGUCGAACGAGACCUUCGGGUCUAGUGGCGCACUGGUGCGUAACGCGUGGGAAUCUGCCCUUGGGUUCGGAAUAACAGUUGGAAACGACUGCUAAUACCGGCUGAUGACGUAAGUCCAAAGAUUUAUCGCCCAGAGAUGAGCCCGCGUAGGAUUAGCUAGUUGGUGGGGUAAAGGCCUACCACGGCGACGAUCCUUAGCUGGUCUGAGAGGAUGAUCAGCCACACUGGGACUGAGACACGGCCCAGACUACUACGGGAGGCAGCAGUGGGGAAUAUUGGACAAUGGGCGAAAGCCUGAUCCAGCAAUGCCGCGUGAGUGAUGAAGGCCUUAGGGUUGUAAAGCUCUUUUACCCGGGAUGAUAAUGACAGUACCGGGAGAAUAAGCCCCGGCUAACUCCGUG
rnacentral:rRNA from 1 species